rnacentral:rRNA from 1 species
AUUGAACGCUGGCGGCAGGCCUAACACAUGCAAGUCGAGCGGAUGAAGGGAGCUUGCUCCUGGAUUCAGCGGCGGACGGGUGAGUAAUGCCUAGGAAUCUGCCUGGUAGUGGGGGAUAACGUCCGGAAACGGGCGCUAAUACCGCAUACGUCCUGAGGGAGAAAGUGGGGGAUCUUCGGACCUCACGCUAUCAGAUGAGCCUAGGUCGGAUUAGCUAGUUGGUGGGGUAAAGGCCUACCAAGGCGACGAUCCGUAACUGGUCUGAGAGGAUGAUCAGUCACACUGGAACUGAGACACGGUCCAGACUCCUACGGGAGGCAGCAGUGGGGAAUAUUGGACAAUGGGCGAAAGCCUGAUCCAGCCAUGCCGCGUGUGUGAAGAAGGUCUUCGGAUUGUAAAGCACUUUAAGUUGGGAGGAAGGGCAGUAAGUUAAUACCUUGCUGUUUCGACGCUACCAACAGUAUAAGCACCGGCUAACUUCGUG